AAGCCCUGUAGCGAAGAAGAGAAGGAGAAUGAUAACUUUGCAAAUAAACAUGCCGGAGGCACACAAACGAAAACGAAUUGACAACAUGAAUGUGGUAGAUCAUUGGAGCAUUUGAGACCCUUAGUCUGGAGGAAAAAUUGGAGCUGUCCUGGCAGGUCCUUGUGGGUGGAGCUGAGGGCUGAAUAGAGAAUGGGAAACACCAAGCCAGGGCUACAAACAGCAUGGUGGGACACUGAGAUAGCCGGGAGCAGGCGGAGUCAACGUCUACAAAGAUCGUCACGACUGUGAAAAUAAACGGGUGACGUCACACUGGUUCGUCAUUCAAAGGAAUAAAAAAUAUUA